GAAAAGACUGCAAGACAAGGCUGGCAGGUGUGAACAGUGAAGUCUAGAGGUCCAUCUAAAGUCUUAGAGCACUAGUGGCCAAGCCUCAGUGUUAAAUUUUCUAUGAUGGACAUUACCUUAGAGAAUUUUAAAUUAGAAAUGUAGGGAGCUGAAUCCUUAGUCUUCUAUGUCUCUCACAGAAUCCUAAGUUUUGACAAGUUCCUAGUAUGAGUUGAACGAUUAUUCAUCUUGUUUUAUUUAAAUCUUUCUAUCAUUUUUUUUUCUUUUUUGCCUCUGUACCAUCUUUUGCGACCAUAGGGGUCUAUCAUCACAGGAAUCAGGAGCGCCCACCGCCUACUUGCAGGGUUCCCUGAUGCACAGACCAAUCGUGCCAGGUCUCAUGCAGCAAACGGACACACGCAGCAGGGACGGGUCAGGAGGGAGGGCCCGCCUCUGGUUCCUUCCUUCCACUCGCACAUGCUGCACAUGCUCUCAACAGGACAGAGCAGAAGGUCUCCACUUUUUGAGAAAGUCAAGGCAAAUGACAGGAAGCUUAACCUGCGGCAUUUCCUGAACUAACUGUAUUACUACUGUUCUUCAAAAGACCCCUUACAGACACGUGGAUGAGCCCUAAAGACAGUAAAUCAUGUUGCAAAUGCGAAAUCCACACAAAUAUAGCUUAAAAUACUCCCCUUCCCAGUGCAAAUGACAAUGAAACCGUUUAUAUUCCUCCAUGGGUAACUGGGAGCUGAAAUUUCCAGAUGUGAAGGGACUUCUCAGAAGGCGAUCUCAAAAAUUUUCACGAAAAGCACUUAACAAUCUACCAUAAAGAGGUUUAGUACAGUUGGAGGUUCGGCAUUCAGCUGUCUGGCUGUUAUUCUUUAAUAUUUUAAAGAAUAUUUAAAUAUUAAAUUUUAAAAUUUGGCUUUUUGUAAACUGCAUACGUCGCAAAGUGAGCAUGUGUACAAGACAGAAUAAAUUAACGAGGACUAUGAGAUGCAAUAUUUCAGUUAAAAAUCCAGCACCAUUCCACUACUCAAAAGGAAAACUCUGUCAUUUAUAUACCAUCGUACAUAUAUAAAACAUGUAUGGAUUAUAAUUACCAAAGCAAGAGUCAAGGGCAAUGCUUUAUUAUUAUGUUACAUGUUCAAAGGAGGGAUGCAUGGAAAACUUCUGUGACUCCUGGAAAACCCAGGACUGGGGCCUGGAGUCCCUUGACGCCUUGACUCUGUUACUUUCCUCAUCUUUUUAGUAAUGUUAUUUAUUAAUCCAUUGGGAUUUUUAUUUCAUUAUUUUUCAUUUCAUUCAAAUAAAUUUAAAACACAAGGUCAUUUCUUAAAUUGGGUGAUGCAUGUGUCUGUUAAGAGAGUUAUCAUUUUUACAUCUUAAAUGUUUCAUAAUACAUUUGAAAACAACUGAUCAAGGGCAUUAGAAUAGAAAUAAUGAGGUAAUAUCACCAGAUCAAAGAAUUGUAAGGAACCAAAAAAGGAGAGAGAGAGAGAGACAGAGAGAUCACUUCAAGGAUGCACACUUGGUCACUUUGAACAGAUCCAGAACAACCUAAUCUUUUAGGCUUUGAAUCUUUUACUAUGAUCAUGGCUCAGAUGUGGCAUUCCCAGCAUUCAGGGCUUCACAACGGGUAGGUACUUAAUAAAUAUACAUCUGUUGAUAGCAAUGAUAACUGCACUCAAGGCGGACAUUACAGAGUAUGUUAGGUGAUUGAAAAACAAUGUAAACAACAAACACUACGGCCAGAAAAAACCUUUACAUACGGUUUAAGAGCUUCCAAUGGGAACUCGGAAAAAAGACCAUCAGACUGAUGCUUCUGAGGAAGAACAACCUGUUUGCAGAUUUGCUCAUUGAAGUUUCCCCUCUACCAACCUUCUUUCCAUUCCUGGGCUCUCUCUGAGCCUUCAUACACGCUGUUCCCACUUCCCAGAUGAACUUUCAUUCUUUCCCCUGAUUCUUUCUGGAAGCCUUCACUGAUCUGGCGUAUGGAUCUCUCUCCCUUUUGUUCCCACAGAGUCUAUACGUCGACAUUAUAACUUUUCCCUUACUUUGAUCAAACUUGGUUGAUGGUCUCCCUGUCCAUAUCCUACAACUACUUGAGGGAUAUUUAUUUGCAGAAAGCCAAGGAUUGUGGUGGUCCCUCUCAUUUUGCAUCCCCACUAUUCAUAUCCACUAUCUGUUAAGGGACUGGUUGAAUGAACUCCACGACUAUUCAAAUCUUUCUACUCUCUUCCUUAAUUUAAAGGAUACACAGAAACUCCCACUAUCCUCAUUCUCUAACACCAAGAAGUGUAUAGGUAUGUAAAUGUAUAUGUGUAUCCUUAUAUAAGGUUGUCAGACGAACAAGUUACAGAGAACAAACAACUUCUUAGACCUACUGCUUGACUAAUAUAUGAAGGUAUGAGCUGAAUAUUGAAAGCAGCUGCUAAUGCUGGUUUUUCAGAAAAUCAUCGUUAAUUUUCUAACUUUUUCCUUUAAAUUCAGGCUUGGAAAACUUUUUAAAGAACAAUCCUGUGUUCAAGGAACCUCAUUUAAAAUGUCAGCGGCCCCUUGACAGAGUCGGAUGUGGUCUGUAUUCAGGAAUUCAAUACUUCUAGACCAUCCUUGCUCCUCACCAGCUCUGGGAGGCUAUGGGAGACCUUUCCUGCUGAAGGCCUCAGGUUCCUUAUCUGUAAAUGAUGAGAUUAGAUAACAAGGCCAACAGCCCAUGUUUAUACAGCUUUUGGUUGACGACUCUGACAUACGCUAUCUCGUCCUAAAAGAUCCCUAUGGGUUUUCAUGUGCUACGAUGUUGGUUUUAUUGAAAACUAUUAUUUGGUUAUAUGCCAUUUACCUAACUAAAUCCAAGAAGUAAAUUUGUUCAGAUAAUUAAUUUCUUAUUAAAAAAAAAAAAAAAAGAAGAAGAAAAAGCAGCACCGUUGUACCGAUGUAGAAAGAACUACUCUAAUCUUAAUGUAACGCUGAAUUACAAUUAGGUGCUAAGUCGCCUUCAAAGAAACAACGACUUUUUGUUUUGCUGCUCAUCCAGAAGCAUCCCUGGGACCUGCCUAAUAGGAAAGGUCAAGGAGCUGGCUUUAUUUGUACCAGGAGAAAGAAGGGAUCACCUCAGCAGUAAGACUUCCACCAGAAAGAAUUCCUGUUCCUAUUGGACUGCACUAUGUCUCCCCAAGGCUUGACCUCCAACUAACUACCUAACUCUACGGUACUCAAAGGGUUUUCAGUGUAAUUACCACUGAAAACUCAAUGCAUUCAUUUAAACUCACAUGAAAGAGUAAAUGACUAAUAGUACGUUAUUUCCUAAGAGCAGGUUUUGAUAGAAGGACAAGAGCUGGCUCUGAAGGAGUCGGCUCCUGUCUAAAGAGCACACUGCGUACCUCUUAAAGGCAAAUUUACACCAUGACAACAAUAACGUGAUAAUCACUGUACCUCCGUCUUGCAUUCAUACGACAAAGCCUCCUGACAAAGACAGGUACCUGCAUUACAGAUCCCAAUUUUACAUGAAAACACUCACUAGCUGAAGCAUACUGGCAUCCUUAUGAAUUUAGGGCUCCCCAUAAUGUUGAUUAGAGCUCCUGCUUUUGAAUUUAUUUUCCCAGACUGACUGACCACAGGGUAAAAGCUUCUCUUUACAACUUCUGUUUGCUCUGAUGUGCAAUCUCCAGAGGAAGUACUCUCUGAUUUCAUCUUGAGAACUUCCUUGUCAGUGAUCCUUAGUGACGGAGACAGAAAUUGAAAUUGAUUAUUUGGAUUCUACAAGCUGCUUAUGCUUGUAAUUAUCACAAAACGAUGUUAUACCCCAAAUGCCCUAGUCCACAGGGGGGAAUGUGGGUGAGGGGCUGAUAUGGAGGAAUCCAUUUCUUUCUCCAUAGGUUUCAGCCAAUGCACACAGAGUUGUACGGCCACUUAAAAACCCAUUCUUCCAUGCCAGACCCACUGAGGCAGCAAGGUAUCAUCCUUUCUCAGUUGACCAAACAGUCCCCAUUUCAUCGCUAGAAUUAAAUUCCAGAGAAUUUUUUGGAUUCUAUUUAAUGAAUGAGGAUAUAUUUUUCAUGUGGUGUCAUUGUUUUACUACUUCCCAUGUUUAUUUGGACAGAUUCAUAGCACUGGGUAGGAUAUGUAUUGGUUGGCAACUUCAGUUUUGGAAGAGAAAGUAAACACAUGCUGAUUAGCAAACAGUAAACUCUACUGUGUUUAAUUUUGGCUUCUCUUGAAAAAAAAAAAAAACACAAAAAAACCACUAUUUGGUGUUGUGUUCCAAGUAGGAGCAUUUGUCCCUAAGUUCUUUCCUAACCCCUUACUGGAGGGCUUCCAGAAUUACUCUCUUUUUUUUUUUUUCCUUCUUCCCCUAACACCAGUGGCAAACGCCAACAUUAUUUAAGAAAAUACUUGUGCAUAUGGUAUCCUCCUAGCACAGAUUUGCCAUCCAGUUGAACAGUAGGGCCACUAACCCACACAAACUAAACUGCAAAAUUAUGAACUACAUAAACAUAAACAAUUGUUUUCGGCCCUGAUACAUUCAAGGUAAAAUCACACUUCUGAAAAUCCCGGAGGCUACUUGACUGACAUCGACCAUGUCCAAGAAUUGUAGGUGAUUAAAUGACAAAAACCUGGGAUUUCAAACGCUCUCUACAGAGCCAGUUCCUUUCAUUUAUCUUAUUCUCUUGCUUUACUAUGACCCCAAAAUUAUCCUUCAAGCUUUAGCCAGUCUUGGCUCUCCACUCAUCCAUCUUCAGAGGCCCAUGACAAGCAUCCUCACCGACAAAGUUCUGAAAGACAACACACACACAGAGAACCCUGAACAUCUACGGUACUCCACUACCUAUCAAGCACCUGCCCUUUUCAUUAUUUCUGGGUUCCUUUCCAUAAAAGCAAACUAGUGAUCUUUUAUUCCUCAUGAUUAAAGUUCGCUCUCCAUUAUUAGGCUUGCCAUGAUGUCUGUGAGGUGUACAAAAGGUUGUCACCACUCAUCAAACGGGAAAGCCAAGGCAUCCAGAAAUUAAAUAAUGCCAAAUGGCCCAACAGAAGAGGUCAGCACCAUCUCUGGGAGGUCUACAUUGUUUGUUUACUUAACAGACAUUUAUUGUCAAUCUAAUAGGUUCUGCAGAGUGAUAGACAGAUGAUGAUGAUAGAUAGGGGAUAGAUAGAUAGAUAGAUAGAUAGAUAGAUAGAUAGAUAGAAAGAAAGAUAGAUAGAUUCUAUUACGGUCUAAGCCCCGGGAAAAGAGUGCAAUAUGAUCAAAGUCCCAACCCACAUGAGGCUUACAAUCUAGGGGCAGUGAGAAAAAGUAAAUGAAGAAACAAGUAAAUAUAAAAUACAUCCGGAGUCAGGGAGCUACGGGGCAAAUGCAUAGUGCAGUAAAGAAGAAAGAGAGUUGGGGGCAGCAAGAGACGGAGUGGUAGGAGACCUCUUGAGCACAUGUCUUUUGGGCAGACCUCUGUAAGAAGUGAGGGAGCAAGCCCUGAGACAACCUGGGAGAAAAGGGCUCCCAGUAGCAAGAACAAGUACAGCCCAGUGCCGGAGACCCAGCUGUGCCGGAGGAAUGGCAAGAAGGUCGAUGCCCAGCACUGAGACAGCAGGUGGAGUGUAAGCCGGUGGGAGAGGGAAACAAGGAGAGACACGACAGUCACCAUUACACAUGCAGGCUGCAAGCAUACAGGAGCCCAAUCUAGAGACAGGGAAGCGGUGUGAUCAAUUCAGUCCAUCAGUUCCUAUUUAAAAUGCCUGCAUCCAAAGGAGUGCAUGCCUUAUGCGAUCAGCUAAGGACUCCGUGGGCACAAACACAAACACAAACAGGCUCAGGAGCUGUAUUUUACAUACUCUAAGAACCAUUUUCACAUUGGUUGAUUCAGCCAAAUACAAAGAAGUUGCUAAACAGCACCCAGUACCUAAGAGAGACCAAAAGCAUUUCCUUCUGUAAAGCACUGCAGCUGAGGGCUUACUUCCGCCUGGUCCAAUCAGUUCAUGGCUAAACAAAGGUAGGAAAUGGCUGCAUCCUAGUAUUUCAUUGUGGACUCAUGAGUCAGUGCUUUGGAACUUGGUAUCUUUGGGAGUGAGUGUCUAUUCUUCACGUCUCUUGCCACAGGGGGAAAAAGGUACAGAUAAACAGUAACACAGUUUCACCCUACUGAGAUACAGAUCUGUGGGCUUUUCCGCCCUUCUCCUCGAAAAAUAAAUGAAUGAAUGAAUGAAUGAAUGAAUGAAAUUCAGCGCCUGCUUGUUUUUUUUUUUCCUUUCCCUCAGUCUUUGUUUCUUACUUCUCAGCUUUCCCUUGCCUCUCCGAAACAACAUAAAGUCAAUUAAUGGCGAAAGUGCAACAUAUGAUAAUUAUUCAAAAGCUAUUGUGCUACGCAGUGUAGUUCACACCAAGAAAUCUGUAUUCUACAAAAGCAGACAAUAUUGUAUCCCUAGGGAUUGAAGAAGCUAAAAUUAACGCUGUUGUAAGGAACGAACGGAUUCUCCACAAUCUAACCAAAAAGAUCCGUAGCGUUUGAUUUUCAAAAUGUUAGAAGAGCACGUGAACUUUGAAGCCUGGUUUUUCAAAGAAUGGCCACA